rnacentral:rRNA from 2 species
UUUUCUGCCACCGAAUACAUUAGCAUGGGAUAAUGGAAUAGGACCCUGUCCUCCUAUUUUCAGUUGGUUUUGGCAGCGCGAGGACUAGGGUAAUGAUUAAUAGGGAUAGUUGGGGGCAUUAAUAUUUAAUUGUCAGAGGUGAAAUUCUUGGAUUUAUGAAAGAUUAACUUCUGCGAAAGCAUCUGCCAAGGAUGUUUUCAUUAAUCAAGAACGAAAGUUAGGGGAUCGAAGACGAUCAGAUACCGUCGUAGUCUUAACCAUAAACGAUGCCGACCAGCGAUUAGGAGACGUUGAAUACAAAACACCACCAUCGGCGCGGUCGUCCUUGGCGUCGGUCUUUCGGGGCCGGCGCGGGGACGGCUUAGCCCGGUGGCACCGGUGAAUGACUCCCCUAGCAGCUUGUGAGA